AGCUAAACACACGACUUGUGAAAAUCACCUAAUUUAAAUAAACAUGAAUUAAGAACACAAAAGUGGUGUUAGCAGUUGUCAAAAUGAGCAAUAUUAACGACCAACAACGAGACGUCAUCACUUCACUGACUAGCGCCAGUCAGCAGUGCAAUAAGCGGAUCAAAAUGCAAGCGGGUCAGCAAUUUCUACAAAAGUACCACCGUUUGCAAUGCUAAACUUCGAGGGACUGUACAGUGCAAGAUUAUUUCCAACGAUUCGAAUGGGCACUGCAACUGAGUUAAAUUCCUGAUGCUGAACACCACCAUUAUGCAAGGGUGCAUAUGGGAGCUGAGCUGAAUUCAGCGCUACGUAUUCUGAUAAGUCCAAGGCAACCAGAGACGCUACAAGCGAGAUUAAGGAAGUGCUAAUUAAUCACUUCGAUGGCAAACGUAACAUUUACGCAGAGAGCUUUAAAUUUCGACAACUACGCCAGGAACCAGAGGACUCACUAGUAGCGUUUGUUCUACGCUUAAAACAGGCAGCAUCAUUUUGCAAUUGCGAAUCGUUCUAGACAGAAUGCUAACAGAACAAAUGCUUUUCGGCAUGCAAAAUCGCAGCACCUGCAAUGAGGGAAUCGCAAAACAGCCAACCACAUUUGGAGACGCAUACGAGGCUGCAUAUUCCAGGGAAUUGUUACUACCGUCAGCAAACAUGGUUAAUGACAUAGAUAAAGAGCCUACAUGCAAACUGGGCUUCUCGCCACUCAGUAGGAAGCCCUCAAGCGGAGUGAAGCAAGGAAGCAAAUGCUACGGAUGUGGGGGGCGACACUUACGCAAGGAUUGCAAAUUCAAAAACGAGAAAUACUAAGUGUGUGGUAAAGUAGGGCAUAUAAGUAAGGUAUGUAAAGCCAAUACGAAACAGAUCUCCGAGUCAACAGAUUCAGAUGCCCCGGAAGAAAUACAAUUUAUUCAACAAUUGAAUAUCAACGCCAUCAAGUCAGUAGGUAGAAAAAUCAUAACGAUGAAGAUUGACGGAAUAAAAAUACCAAUGGAAACGGAACAAAGGUGCUCCAUGCAGCAUAAUGAAUGGAAAGACCAUUCGGAAAAUUAAACCUUUAAUACGAUUAGAGUAAACUGACCGCAAAUCUUCGAGUUAUACGGGGCUUAGGAUCAACUGCUGUGUGUGGGCGAGAAUGGAUCUUCCAAUUUUCAAAAGAAAUUGAUUUUACUGAGAUUUUUAAUAACAAUUCUGUCAACGCCAAGGACAUAGAUCAGGAAAUUUUCUCGACGAAAGGAGCGCGGUGAAAACAAUAGCAGUACAAGCGGCGUGACUGAUUUGACAGGAACCUUCAAGGGACUAGGACUAGCAACAUUGGGAAAAUUACAGAGCCUAGGAUUUAAAUUGAACAAAUCAAAAUGUGUAUUCGCCGCAUUUUCGGUUGAGUUUCUGAGACACAAGAUUGGCGCAGAAGUCAUACAUAAAUCAACUAAACAUAUUGAGGCCAUCUAAAAGCACCGAAACCAUCUAUAAUCGAACAGGUGCAGCUGAAAGCAGCUUACUACUCAAAGUUCAUACCAAAUCUGUCAACCUUGAAAAGACCGCUGCGUGAUAUACUCAAAGACUACAAUUCUACAGGUCAGAAGAGACGGAAUUAGCUUACAACUGAAUUAAACAAAUUCUAGUUUCACCGGAGGUGCUUAUGACCCAACACUUCCAUUAGUGCUAGCAACGGACGCCAGCAAAAUAGGUAUAGGCGCUGUACUAUCGCAUUGUUUGGUUGCGCCUACGCAAGCCGUACAGUUAGUCCCACAGAACACCUAUAUAAUGAAGCCCUAGCAAUUGUAUGGGCAAUACAAAGAUUCUUCAAAUAUUUACACGCCUGAAGUUGGACAUUGGUUACCGAUAACAAAUCACUUGCACAAAUUUUACACCCUACCAAAUCACUACUGACGCUAUGCAUCUCUAGGAUGGAAAACUAAGCAGAUUUUUUAAGCAACUUCAAUUUCACAGUAACUACCAAAAUAUCAAAGGAAAAUGUAAAUGCUGACUACUUUUCCGAUUA